GAUAGAGAGAAGGAGGGAGGCUGUUUCUGUCAAGGUCCUCCAUUAAGGUUCCCUCCUCCAGCGCCUCCUUCAGCUGACUCCACGGGAACUCUGCAGGAACUAAAGGAGCUGCGUCGCCUUCAGGACCACCCUUACCUUAGUAUGCGGGCCGCCCAUGGACAGCUCAAUAGAUCGCUGGUCAUUAGAGAGAGUGGAGACGCUGCAGGGGUCAGUGUCUUUGGGGCACUGACAUAAGGGUUGCGUGAAGUUGAGACGUCUGUAUACUGCAUUGCACACCUGAAAUAUGGACAGUGGCUGUCAACUCUACUUGUCAACCCGGCCCACCUGUCAAUCUUCCUCUCAAUCACCUGGUCACGCAGCCUCCCUUCCUCCGUAAGCACAACGGGAUGGACGGAGACAG